rnacentral:rRNA from 1 species
GACGAACGCUGGCGGCGUGCUUAACACAUGCAAGUCGAACGGAAAGGCCCUGCUUGCAGGGUACUCGAGUGGCGAACGGGUGAGUAACACGUGGGUGAUCUGCCCUGCACUUCGGGAUAAGCCUGGGAAACUGGGUCUAAUACCGGAUAGGAGCCAUUUUUAGUGUGAUGGUUGGAAAGUUUUUUCGGUGUAGGAUGAGCUCGCGGCCAAUCAGCUUGUUGGUGGGGUAAUGGCCUACCAAGGCGGCGACGGGUAGCCGGCCUGAGAGGGUGGACGGCCACAUUGGGACUGAGAUACGGCCCAGACUCCUACGGGAGGCAGCAGUGGGGAAUAUUGCACAAUGGGCGCAAGCCUGAUGCAGCGACGCCGCGUGGGGGAUGACGGCCUUCGGGUUGUAAACUCCUUUCGCUAGGGACGAAGCUUUUUGUGACGGUACCUAGAUAAGAAGCACCGGCUAACUACGUG